rnacentral:rRNA from 1 species
GAUAACAGCAAUAUCACCCUGCAGCCCAAGACCGGUUACUCCCUGAAGCUAAGCAGGGCUGAGCCUGGCCAGUACCUGGCUGGGAGACCACAUGGGAAAACGAGGUUGCUGUUGGAA